AUUGAACGCUGGCGGCAGGCCUAACACAUGCAAGUCGAACGGUAACAGGAAGAAGCUUGCUUCUUUGCUGACGAGUGGCGGACGGGUGAGUAAUGUCUGGGAAACUGCCUGAUGGAGGGGGAUAACUACUGGAAACGGUAGCUAAUACCGCAUAACGUCGCAAGACCAAAGAGGGGGACCUUCGGGCCUCUUGCCAUCGGAUGUGCCCAGAUGGGAUUAGCUAGUAGGUGGGGUAACGGCUCACCUAGUCGACGAUCCCUAGCUGGUCUGAGAGGAUGACCAGCCACACUGGAACUGAGACACGGUCCAGACUCCUACGGGAGGCAGCAGUGGGGAAUAGUGCACAAUGGGCGCAAGCCUGAUGCAGCCAUGCCGCGUGUAUGAAGAAGGCCUUCGGGUUGUAAAGUACUUUCAGCGGGGAGGAAGGGAGUAAAGUUAAUACCUUUGCUCAUUGACGUUACCCGCAGAAGAAGCACCGGCUAACUCCGUG
rnacentral:rRNA from 1 species